rnacentral:lncRNA from 1 species
AUAUGUUUGAGAAAUUGAAGUAAUAGCAUUUCUAAGGUAUUUGAAUAUCGCACCACGGGAUUCCACUGGCUGUUGAGUAGGUGGGACGGUGAGUAGGUGGGACGGUGAGUAGGUGGGACGGUGAGUAGGUGGGACGGUGAGUAGGUGGCUGUUGAGUAGGUGGGACGGUGAGUAGGUGGGACGGUGAGUAGGUGUCUGUUGAGUAGGUGGGACGGUGAGUAGGUGGGACGGUGAGUAGGUGUCUGUUGAGUAGGUGGGACGGUGAGUAGGUGGCUGUUGAGUAGGUGGGACGGUGAGUAGGUGGGACGGUGAGUAGGUGGGACGGUGAGUAGGUGGGACGGUGAGUAGGUGGGACGGUGAGUAGGUGGCUGUUGAGUAGGUGGGACGGUGAGUAGGUGGCUGUUGAGUAGGUGGGACGGUGAGUAGGUGGCUGUUGAGUAGGUGGGACGGUGAGUAGGUGGGACGGUGAGUAGGUGUCUGUUGAGUAGGUGGGACGGUGAGUAGGUGGGACGGUGAGUAGGUGUCUGUUGAGUAGGUGGGACGGUGAGUAGGUGGCUGUUGAGUAGGUGGGACGGUGAGUAGGUGGGACGGUGAGUAGGUGUCUGUUGAGUAGGUGGGACGGUGAGUAGGUGGGACGGUGAGUAGGUGUCUGUUGAGUAGGUGGGACGGUGAGUAGGUGGGACGGUGAGUAGGUGUCUGUUGUGUAGGUGGGACGGUGAGUAGGUGGGACGGUGAGUAGGUGUCUGUUGAGUAGAUGGGACGGUGAGUAGGUGGGACGGUGAGUAGGUGUCUGUUGAGUUGGUGGGACGGUGAGUAGGUGUCUGUUGAGUAGGUGGGACGGUGAGUAGGUGGCUGUUGAGUAGGUGGGACGGUGAGUAGGUGGGACGGUGAGUAGGUGGCUGUUGAGUAGGUGGGACGGUGAGUAGGUGGGACGGUGAGUAGGUGGGACGGUGAGUAGGUGGGACGGUGAGUAGGUGGGACGGUGAGUAGGUGGCUGGUGAGUAGGUGGGACGGUGAGUAGGUGGGACGGUGAGUAGGUGGGACGGUGAGUAGGUGGGACGGUGAGUAGGUGUCUGUUGAGUAGGUGGGACGGUGAGUAGGUGGGACGGUGAGUAGGUGGGACGGUGAGUAGGUGGGACGGUGAGUAGGUGUCUGUUGAGUAGGUGGGACGGUGAGUAGGUGGGACGGUGAGUAGGUGGCCGUUGAGUAGGUGGGACGGUGAGUAGGUGGGACGGUGAGUAGGUGGGACGGUGAGUAGGUGGGACGGUGAGUAGGUGGCUGGUGAGUAGGUGGGACGGUGAGUAGGUGGCUGGUGAGUAGGUGGGACGGUGAGUAGGUGGGACGGUGAGUAGGUGGGACGGUGAGUAGGUGGGACGGUGAGUAGGUGGCUGUUGAGUAGGUGGGACGGUGAGUAGGUGGGACGGUGAGUAGGUGGCUGUUGAGUAGGUGGGACUUCUGAUAAUAUGUUUGCUCUAACUGCUUUUUUAAAAACAGAAAUGAAAUCUGACAACUGGAGGUUGGCAUCUUUUAAUAAGGCAUACUCCAAUUACGGUUUUCAAUGAUUACCAAGAUUCUUAGUGACCUUUUUAUGAAUUACAAUGAUUUUACUUUUAGAGGUUAACCUCUCUAGGGUAGGUGGCACCAAACCAUCCCACCUACGUAACAGCCAGUGUAAUCCCGUGGCGCAUUAUUCAAAAACCUCAAAAAUGCAAAAACUUCCAUUUUUCAAACAUAUGACUAUUUUACACCAUUUUAAAGACAAGACUCUCGUUAAUCU